rnacentral:rRNA from 1 species
CGACGGUGAGGGAUGAAAGCUGGGGGAGCAAACCGGAUUAGAUACCCGGGUAGUCCCAGCUGUAAACGAUGCAAACUCGAUGAUGCGUUGGCUUAUUGCUAGCGCAGUGUCGCAGGGAAGCCGUUAAGUUUGCCGCCUGGGAAGUACGUACGCAAGUAUGAAACUUAAAGGAAUUGGCGGGGGAGCACCACAAGGGGUGAAGCCUGCGGUUCAAUUGGAGUCAACGCCUGAAACCUUACCCGGAGAGACAGCAGAAUGAAGGUCAAGCUGAAGACUUUACCAGACAAGCUGAGAGGUGGUGCAUGGCCGUCGCCAGCUCGUGCCGUGAGAUGUCCUGUUAAGUCAGGUAACGAGCGAGAUCCCUGCCUCUAGUUGCCACCAUUACUCUCAGGAGUAGUGGGGCGAAUUAGCGGGACCGCCGCAGUUAAUGCGGAGGAAGGAAGGGGCCACGGCAGGUCAGUAUGCCCCGAAACUCUGGGGCCACACGCGGGCUGCAAUGGUAACGACAAUUGGUUUCGAAUCCGAAAGGAUGAGGUAAUCCUCAAACGUUACCACAGUUAUGACUGAGGGCUGCAACUCGCCCUCACGAAUAUGGAAUCCCUAGUAACUGCGUGUCAUUAUCGCGCGGUGAAUACGUCCCUGCUCCUUGCACACACCGCCCGU